rnacentral:snRNA from 1 species
GUGCUCGCUUUGGCAGCACGUAUACAACACCAGUGUGAUACAGAGAAGAUUAGCAUGGCCCCCGGGCAAGAUAUGCAAAUUUGUGAAGCAUUCCAUAUUUUU